rnacentral:rRNA from 1 species
AUUGAACGCUGGCGGCAUGCCUUACACAUGCAAGUCGAACGGCAGCACGGGUGCUUGCACCUGGUGGCGAGUGGCGAACGGGUGAGUAAUACAUCGGAACGUACCUUAUCGUGGGGGAUAACGCAGCGAAAGCCGUGCUAAUACCGCAUACGCCCUGAGGGGGAAAGCGGGGGAUCGAAAGACCUCGCGCGACUAGAGCGGCCGAUGCCUGAUUAGCUUGUUGGUGGGGUAAAAGCCCACCAAGGCGACGAUCAGUAGCUGGUCUGAGAGGACGAUCAGCCACACUGGGACUGAGACACGGCCCAGACUCCUACGGGAGGCAGCAGUGGGGAAUUUUGGACAAUGGGGGCAACCCUGAUCCAGCAAUGCCGCGUGAGUGAAGAAGGCCUUCGGGUUGUAAAGCUCUUUUGUCAGGGAAGAAACACCGGCUCUAACGCAGUCCGGGAAUGACGGUACCUGAAGAAUAAGCACCGGCUAACUACGUGCCAGCCGCCGCAGUAA